rnacentral:piRNA from 1 species
UGCCACAACUACAAGGAUUUCUACGACCAU